rnacentral:rRNA from 1 species
UACGGAGGGAGCUAGCGUUGUUCGGAAUUACUGGGCGUAAAGCGCACGUAGGCGGCUUUGUAAGUUAGAAGUGAAAGCCCGGAGCUCAACUCCGGAAUUGCCUUUAAGACUGCAUCGCUUGAAUCCAGGAGAGGUGAGUGGAAUUCCGAGUGUAGAGGUGAAAUUCGUAGAUAUUCGGAAGAACACCAGUGGCGAAGGCGGCUCACUGGACUGGUAUUGACGCUGAGGUGCGAAAGCGUGGGGAGCAAACAGG